rnacentral:rRNA from 1 species
GAUGAACGCUGGCGGCGUGCCUAAUACAUGCAAGUCGAGCGAACGGACGAGAAGCUUGCUUCUCUGAUGUUAGCGGCGGACGGGUGAGUAACACGUGGAUAACCUACCUAUAAGACUGGGAUAACUUCGGGAAACCGUAGCUAAUACCGGAUAAUAUUUUGAACCGCAUGGUUCAAAAGUGAAAGACGGUCUUGCUGUCACUUAUAGAUGGAUCCGCGCUGCAUUAGCUAGUUGGUAAGGUAACGGCUUACCAAGGCAACGAUGCAUAGCCGACCUGAGAGGGUGAUCGCCCAACCGGGACAGGAGACACGUCCCAGCCCCCUAGGGGAGGCACGAGUGGGGAAUCUUCCGCAAGGGGCGAAACCCUGACGGAGCAACGCCGGGGGGGUGAGGAAGGUCUUCGGAUCGUAAACCUUUUUUUUUAGGGAAAAAAAUAUUUGUAAGUAACUGUGCACAUCUGGACGGGACCAAAGCAAAAAGCCCCGGCAAACUCCGU